GCAGGCCCCGCCCCUCGGUCUGCUCUUGCACAGCGCCAGGGGCCCGCCCUGCAGCCUCUCAAGAUUCUAGUAAGGAGGGCGUUCACAACACACAGGUGCGCGUGCAGCAGGGGAAAGCGCACAGCUGUUUUCCGGCGCAGGGAAGUGUGGGGAGCGGCGCGGGAGAAGAAAUCAGCCGACAGCGGUGGAGGGGACGCUGCGCUUGGGCUGUGACAAAAUCCUCUGAGUGCCGCGGGCAGGGGCGACCGAGAGACCGCGAUUUAAAGCGGGGAGGAGGGAGAAGAGGAUGA
rnacentral:lncRNA from 1 species